AGGACGUUGAUAGGCUGGGUGUGGAAGUGCAGUAAUGCAUUAAGCUAACCAGUACUAAUUGCCCGUACGGCUUGUCCC
rnacentral:rRNA from 1 species